UAGAUCUCGGAGAGAGGCCGAGUAGGA
rnacentral:tRNA from 1 species